CAGCAGCCGCGGGAAUACGUAGGGUGCAAGCGUUAAUCGGAAUUACUGGGCGUAAAGCGUGCGCAGGCGGUUAUAUAAGACAGAUGUGAAAUCCCCGGGCUCAACCUGGGAACUGCAUUUGUGACUGUAUAGCUAGAGUACGGCAGAGGGGGAUGGAAUUCCGCGUGUAGCAGUGAAAUGCGUAGAUAUGCGGAGGAACACCGAUGGCGAAGGCAAUCCCCUGGGCCUGUACUGACGCUCAUGCACGAAAGCGUGGGGAGCAAACAGAAUUAGAUACCCCUGUAGUCCCUGUCUCUUAUAU
rnacentral:rRNA from 1 species